rnacentral:rRNA from 1 species
UACAGAGGGUGCAAGCGUUAAUCGGAAUUACUGGGCGUAAAGGGCGCGUAGGCGGCGUGGUAAGUCACUUGUGGAAUCUCCGAGCUUAACUCGGAACGGUCAAGUGAUACUGCUGUGCUAGAGUGCGGAAGGGGCAACUGGAAUUCUCGGUGUAGCGGUGAAAUGCGUAGAUAUCGAGAGGAACACCUGCGGCGAAGGCGGGUUGCUGGGCCAAUACUGACGCUCAGGCACGAAAGCGUGGGGAGCAAACAGG